rnacentral:misc_RNA from 1 species
UUGUUCUAAGAAAAGGAAAAAAACCAAGUAUAUUCCUUUGCAAAUUCAACUUCCCUCAAUACAGAUUCAGAAAUUUACAGAUCGAGUCAACAACAGCGGAAACGAAGAAGCAUAAGAGACGGGAUUCGUGACCAACUUCAAAACGGAUCUUAUCUUAGCAGAAGAGCUUAAUAAGGACUAGGUAUUUUUAUGAUUCAGAUUCCUUAAGAGAGAGAGAGAUUGAAGAGGAAGGAGGAGGAGAAAGCAGUUAGAUGUAGCUUUCUUGGAUGGAAUGGUUUGUUCUGUAUGGUGGUGGCGUUUUGAGAUUUGAAGAGCAGCACAG